GGCAGCGCGCUCCCCAAAGCCUCCGCUGGCAGUUCCCGGGAGGAGGCAACUGGCUGCCCCUGGCUGGCUCCCUCCCGCUGGUCGGCCAAUGCAAAGCCAGACCCACUUCUGCCCCCUGGGGUCCUGGCCUCCAGGGCGGGCGCGCUUCGCAGCGGAGCGGGCGGGCGGGCCCCCUUCGGCUUCCGUCUGCCCUUCGCCCGCCGGACCGCCCGCCCGCCCGCUCGCGGAGCCUGCUGCAGCCAGCCCUGGCUCUAGGAGGCUGGCCAGCCGGCACUGCCAACUGGCCCCAGGUGCUAGCUAGAGGCAGCGGCAGGCCUCGGAGCACGGGCGCCCCCAGGCCGCACAAGCAUUCUCUGAGGCAAGAGGAGCCCCAGGCAUCAUCUCCCUCUGGCUGGCGGGCUCGCCGGCUCGCGCGUGCGCAGUCCAGGACUCCUCACAGGGAAGGCUUGUCUAGGGAGGGGCCGUGCCCGGGGUGGGGGGCGGCUGCUGCUGGGACACACCUACUCCUGACGCCCACUGGGUGGUCCACGCGAGAUGAGCUCGGUGCUGGGGUACUGGCUGUCCCACCGUGGCCUCCUGAGCCCGAGCGGACACGCGUGGGCCCUCUCCGAGGGCCGGCAGGGCCGCAGUCUGGGCCCUCCUGCGUUCCUGGGCGCCUCCGAGGUUCCCCCCACCUCCCUUGGAUCCCCGGGUCAUACCAACAUUCUCUGAGGACAGUUCGAGCCCACGGCAGCGUCCUCCUCUGGCUCUCUGGCUCCCUGGCUCAUGCAUGUGCAGACCAGGACUCCCUGUGCUAAGAGCUGGUAGGGCAGGGCUGUUCCUAGGGGCUCCUGCUGGGACACACCUACUCCUGACGCGCACUGGGUGGUCCACGCGAGAUGAGCUCGGUGCUGGGGUACUGGCUGUCCCACCGUGGCCUCCUGAGCCCGAGCAGACACGCGUGGGCCCUCUCCGAGGGCCGGCAGGGCCGCAGUCUGGGCCCUCUUGCGUUCCUGGGCGCCUCCGAGGUUCCCCCCACCUCCCUUGGGCCGGGCCGGGCCGGGCCGGGACGAGGCGCAGCCCCAGGAACCCUGUGCCACCUGGCUGGCCAGUGGAGGCCCCGCCCACGGGCAGGGCAGCAAGCUCCAGAGCCCCACGGCCGCUGCGCCCGACCCUGCAGCCUGCUGGCCGGCUGGAGCCACAGAGACGGCAGGUCUCCCCCGGCCAAGCCAAGAGUUGGCAGCGCGCUCCCCAAAAGCCUCCGCUGGCAGUUCCCGGGAGGAUGCAACUGGCUGCCCCUGGCUGGCUCCCUCCCGCUGGUCGGCCAAUGCAAAGCCAGACCCACUUCUGCCCCCUGGGGUCCUGGCCUCCAGGGCGGGCACGCUUCUCAGCGGAGCGGGCGGGCGGGUCCCCUUCGGCUUCCGUCUGCCCUUCGCCCGCCGGACCGCCCGACCGCCCCUGAUCUGACGCUAUGCAGGCCCGCUCGCGCUGGCUCUAGGAGGGCGUUGCCCCUUGGG
rnacentral:lncRNA from 1 species